rnacentral:tmRNA from 2 species
GGGGGUGUAAGGGGUUCGACGGUAAGAGGUUAAGUAGAUAAGCUGCAGGCCGGGUCUUAGCUCCGUUAAAGCUAAGAGUAAAAUAAACGCCGACAACCAAUUAGCUUUAGCUGCUUAAUAAUAAGCAGGCUUGCUAAGGUAAGCGCUUGCUCUUACCUUAGUGGGUUAAGAUCCAAGCAAGCUGCGUUUAUAAGUCGCACCGCUUAUAAACUAAGAUAAUCGGUGCUACGUGUAUUGUUAAGUUUCCUGGUUAUCUUAAUAAUACACUAAAACUUAAAACCAGGGGUUUGGUAAGUUAGCCAUAAACUUACCUAAGCCUGUAGAUGCUAUCUGCUUAGCUUACCGGACGUGGGUUCAACUCCCACCACCUCCACCA